CGGCGUGCCUAACACAUGCAAGUCGAACGGAGAUAGACGCUGAUUUGAUGGUAGCUUGCUACUGGAUUUUCUGUUUAUCUUAGUGGCGGACGGGUGAGUAACGCGUGGGUAACCUGCCGUAUGCAGGGGGACAACAGCUGGAAACGGCUGCUAAUACCGCAUAAGCGCACAGUACUGCAUGGUACAGUGUGAAAAGUUCUGGCGGCAUACGAUGGACCCGCGUCUGAUUAGCUAGUUGGUGAGGUAACGGCCCACCAAGGCGACGAUCAGUAGCCGACCUGAGAGGGUGACCGGCCACAUUGGGACUGAGACACGGCCCAAACUCCUACGGGAGGCAGCAGUGGGGAAUAUUGCACAAUGGGCGAGAGCCUGAACCAGCCAAGUCGCGUGAGGGAAGACGGUACUAAGUAUUGUAAACCUCUUUUGUCAGGGAACAAAGAGACCACGUGUGGUAAGAUGAGUGUACCUGAAGAAAAAGCAUCGGCUAACUCCGUG
rnacentral:rRNA from 1 species